AAAUUGAAGAGUUUGAUCAUGGCUCAGAUUGAACGCUGGCGGCAGGCCUAACACAUGCAAGUCGAACGGUAACAGGAAGCAGCUUGCUGCUUCGCUGACGAGUGGCGGACGGGUGAGUAAUGUCUGGGAAACUGCCUGAUGGAGGGGGAUAACUACUGGAAACGGUGGCUAAUACCGCAUAACGUCGCAAGACCAAAGAGGGGGACCUUCGGGCCUCUUGCCAUCAGAUGUGCCCAGAUGGGAUUAGCUUGUUGGUGAGGUAACGGCUCACCAAGGCGACGAUCCCUAGCUGGUCUGAGAGGAUGACCAGCCACACUGGAACUGAGACACGGUCCAGACUCCUACGGGAGGCAGCAGUGGGGAAUAUUGCACAAUGGGCGCAAGCCUGAUGCAGCCAUGCCGCGUGUAUGAAGAAGGCCUUCGGGUUGUAAAGUACUUUCAGCGGGGAGGAAGGGGAUAAGGCUAAUAACCUUGUU
rnacentral:rRNA from 1 species